AGCAGUCGCCGCGGUAAUACGAAGGGGGCUAGCGUUGCUCGGAAUUACUGGGCGUAAAGGGAGCGUAGGCGGAUCGUUUAGUCAGGGGUGAAAUCCCGGGGCUCAGCCUCGGAACUGCCUUUGAUACUGGCGAUCUUGAGUAUGGGAGAGGUGUGUGGAACUCCGAGUGUAGAGGUGAAAUUCGUAGAGAUGUGGAGGAACACCAGUGGCGAAGGCGACUCUCUGGUCUGUAACUGACGCUGAGGAGCGAAAGCGUGGGGAGCGAACAGGAUUAGAUACCCCUGUAGUCCCUGUCUCUUAUAC
rnacentral:rRNA from 1 species